rnacentral:piRNA from 1 species
UUAUUUCAUCCAUAAAUCAGA